rnacentral:rRNA from 1 species
GAUCUUGGUUCAGGAUGAACGCUAGCUACAGGCUUAACACAUGCAAGUCGAGGGGCAGCAUGUGGUUGCUUGCAACCAAUGAUGGCGACCGGCGCACGGGUGAGUAACGCGUAUCCAACCUUCCCCUUAGUAGAGGAUAGCCCGGCGAAAGUCGGAUUAAUACUCUAUGUUCUUCAAUGCGGGCAUCUAAGUUGAAGCAAAGAUUUAUCGCUAAGGGAUGGGGAUGCGUCUGAUUAGGUUGCAGGCGGGGUAACGGCCCACCUGGCCUACGAUCAGUAGGGGUUCUGAGAGGAAGGUCCCCCACACUGGUACUGAGACACGGACCAGACUCCUACGGGAGGCAGCAGUGAGGAAUAUUGGUCAAUGGGCGCGAGCCUGAACCAGCCAAGUAGCGUGCAAGGACGACUGCCCUAUGGGUUGUAAACUGCUUUUAUCAGGGAAUAAAGUGAGGCACGCGUGCCUUUUUGUAUGUACCUGAUGAAUAAGGACCGGCUAAUUCCGUGCCAGCCGCGGC